UACGGAGGGUGCAAGCGUUAAUCGGAAUUACUGGGCGUAAAGCGCACGCAGGUGGCUGAGUCAGUCGAUUGUGAAAGCCCUGGGCUUAACCUGGGAAUUGCAGUCGAUACUACUCAGCUAGAGUAUGGGAGAGGGUAGUGGAAUUCCCGGUGUAGCGGUGAAAUGCGUAGAUAUCGGGAGGAAUACCGGUGGCGAAGGCGGCAUCCUGGACCGGCAUUGACGCUGAGGAGCGAAAGCCAGGGGAGCAAACGGG
rnacentral:rRNA from 1 species